rnacentral:rRNA from 1 species
UACGUAGGGUGCGAGCGUUAAUCGGAAUUAUUGGGCGUAAAGAGCGUGUAGGCGGCCAGGUAGGUCUGCUGUGAAAACUCGAGGCUCAACCUCGAGACGUCGGCGGAAACCAUCUGGCUAGAGUCCGGAAGAGGAGAGUGGAAUUCCUGGUGUAGCGGUGAAAUGCGCAGAUAUCAGGAAGAACACCCGUGGCGAAGGCGGCUCUCUGGGACGGUACUGACGCUGAGACGCGAAAGCGUGGGGAGCGAACAGG